rnacentral:rRNA from 1 species
UACGUAGGGGGCAAGCGUUGUCCGGAAUCAUUGGGCGUAAAGCGCGCGUAGGCGGUUCGGUAAGUCUGCUGUGAAAGUCCAGGGCUCAACCCUGGGAUGCCGGUGGAUACUGUCGAGCUAGAGUACGGAAGAGGCGAGUGGAAUUCCCGGUGUAGCGGUGAAAUGCGUAGAGAUUUGGAGGAACACCAGUGGCGAAGGCGACUUUCUGGUCUGUAACUGACACUGAGGCGCGAAAGCGUGGGGAGCAAACAGG